rnacentral:rRNA from 1 species
UACGGAGGGGGCUAGCGUUGUUCGGAAUUACUGGGCGUAAAGCGCACGUAGGCGGCUUUGUAAGUCAGAGGUGAAAGCCCGGAGCUCAACUCCGGAAUUGCCUUUGAGACUGCAUCGCUUGAAUCCGGGAGAGGUGAGUGGAAUUCCGAGUGUAGAGGUGAAAUUCGCAGAUAUCAGGAAGAACACCCGUGGCUAAGGCGGCUCUCUAGUACGGUACUGACGCUGAGACGCGAAAGCGUGGGGAGCGAACAGG